UAAAGGAUUAUCGCUGAUAGAUGGGCAUGCGUUCCAUUAGAUAGUUGGUGAGGUAACGGCUCACCAAGUCCACGAUGGAUAGGGGUUCUGAGAGGAAGGUCCCCCACACUGGUACUGAGACACGGACCAGACUCCUACGGGAGGCAGCAGUGAGGAAUAUUGGUCAAUGGGCGAGAGCCUGAACCAGCCAAGUCGCGUGAAGGAUGAAGGAUCUAUGGUUUGUAAACUUCUUUUAUAUGGGAAUAAAGUGAGGAACGUGUUCCUUUUUGUAUGUACCAUAUGAAUAAGCAUCGGCUAACUCCGUGCCAGCAGCCGCGGUAAUACGGAGGAUGCGAGCGUUAUCCGGAUUUAUUGGGUUUAAAGGGUGCGUAGGUGGUUAAUUAAGUCAGCGGUGAAAGUUUGUGGCUCAACCAUAAAAUUGCCGUUGAAACUGGUUGACUUGAGUAUAUUUGAGGUAGGCGGAAUGCGUGGUGUAGCGGUGAAAUGCAUAGAUAUCACGCAGAACUCCGAUUGCGAAGGCAGCUUACUAAACUAUAACUGACACUGAAGCACGAAAGCGUGGGGAUCAAACAGGAUUAGAUACCCCGGUAGUCCACGCAGUAAACGAUGAUUACUAGCUGUUUGCGAUACACAGUAA
rnacentral:rRNA from 1 species